rnacentral:rRNA from 1 species
CCUACGGGAGGCAGCAGUGGGGGAUAUUGCACAAUGGGGGAAACCCUGAUGCAGCGACGCCGCGUGGGUGAAGAAGCGCCUCGGCGCGUAAAGCCCUGUCAGCAGGGAAGAAAAUGACGGUACCUGAAGAAGAAGCCCCGGCUAACUACGUGCCAGCAGCCGCGGUAAUACGGAGGGGGCAAGCGUUAUCCGGAUUUACUGGGUGUAAAGGGGGCGCAGACGGCGAUGCAAGCCAGGAGUGAAAGCCCGGGGCCCAACCCCGGGACUGCUCUUGGAACUGCGUGGCUAGAGUGCAGGAGGGGCAGGCGGAAGUCGUGGUGUAGCGGUGAAAUGCGUAGAUAUCAGGAGGAACACCGGUGGCGAAGGCGGCCUGCUGGACUGCAACUGACGUUGAGGCCCGAAGGCGUGGGGAGCAAACAGGAUUAGAUACCCGUGUAGUC